GAUCCUGGCUCAGGAUGAACGCUGGCGGCGUGCCUAACACAUGCAAGUCGAACGGAGCUGCUUUGAUGAGAUCUUCGGAUGGAUUUAAAACAGCUUAGUGGCGGACGGGUGAGUAACGCGUGGGUAACCUGCCUCACACUGGGGGAUAACAGUUAGAAAUAGCUGCUAAUACCGCAUAAGCGCACGGUUCCGCAUGGAACAGUGUGAAAAACUCCGGUGGUGUGAGAUGGACCCGCGU
rnacentral:rRNA from 1 species